rnacentral:rRNA from 1 species
AAACUGAAGAGUUUGAUCAUGGCUCAGAUUGAACGCUGGCGGCAGGCCUAACACAUGCAAGUCGAGCGGUAACAGAUCUAGCUUGCUAGAUGCUGACGAGCGGCG